GACGAACGCUGGCGGCGUGCUUAACACAUGCAAGUCGAACGAGGUCCAACCAGUGGCAACACUGGAGACGACCUAGUGGCGAACGGGUGAGUAACACGUGAGGAACCUGCCCCGAAGACCGGGAUAACCCUCCGAAAGGAGAGCUAAUACCGGAUGCCCUCUACUGAUCGCAUGGUCGGUUGAGGAAAGGAUUCUGCUUCGGGAGGGCCUCGCGGCCUAUCAGCUUGUUGGUGAGGUAACGGCUCACCAAGGCGACGACGGGUAGCUGGUCUGAGAGGACGAUCAGCCACACUGGGACUGAGACACGGCCCAGACUCCUACGGGAGGCAGCAGUGGGGAAUCUUGCGCAAUGGGCGAAAGCCUGACGCAGCAACGCCGCGUGCGGGAUGAAGGCCUUCGGGUUGUAAACCGCUUUCAGUGGGGACGAAAUCAGACGGUACCCACAGAAGAAGCCCCGGCCAACUACGUGCCAGCAGCCGCCGUAACAC
rnacentral:rRNA from 1 species